CUCUAAAGAGCAAAGAAAACACCAGAAAUUUGUCAAAUGCCCUCUAAGUUUCUUUCCUGUAGCAAACAUUUCUGAGUACUCACUGAGAUAGGCUUUAGUUUAAAUCUGCAAAUUUAUUUAGUGUUCACACCUUUGAGGUAUGCAUUACUGGUGGCCCCAUUUUACAGAUAAGCAAGGGAUAUAAACAGGAAGGAACAUACCAUAUUAGUGCUUUCUGUAGGGUAACUACAGUAGUGUCCCUUGUCUGACAAGUGAUACCUUGUGUCACCUGUGUCGUCCAGCAUAGCUCCUUAGGUGCUGUCCACCUUUUUUGGUAAGAGGUUCUUACUGGAUUGAGACUUGGCAAAUAUGCUAGGCUACCAGGCCAGAAGCUGAAGGGAUCUGUUCCUCUCCACCACUGGGAUUAAAAGUGUGCACCGCUUGGGAAGCAGAAGGCAGGUCUGAAUGUUAGGCAGCCUGGUCCACAGAGCAAAUUCCCGGACAGCCAGGGCCACAUAGAAAAACAUUGCCUUGGGAAAAUAAAAACCAUCACCAACAAAAACCCAUCAAAGGAGCUGGAAGUGGUGCUUUAAUCCUAGCAGUUGUUGAGUCAGAAAGCCUGAUCUACAUAGUUUCAGGACUGUAGAGAAACACUGCUUUAAAAAAAAAAAAAAAAGCAUUGGGAUGUCUAAGCAGCUGGGAGCAUUUAGCUGCCCCUGCAGAGGACCCAGAUUCAGUUCCCAGCACCUACAUGGUGGCUUGCAGCAUCUGUAACUGCUGUUUUAGGGCAUCCAAGGUCCCUGUGGAAACAAGGCUCAUGUACAUUUAAUAAAUAAAUGCAAGUAAAACAGUCAAACUUUUUAAGAGCACCACUAUGCCUAGCUUUUGUGUUCAUGUACAUUGAUGACAAAGGACUGAUUAUUUGAGGGUAGCUGUCCUGAGUUUCUGGGAAAUCUUCCAUUUCUCAGUGGGGUGUGGGGUGUACUGGGAUUACAAACAGUUAUGUUGUUUGGCCUUUAUAUGGGCUCUGGGAAUCCAAGCAGGUCAUCCAUCACACUUACCUAGUGUGCACACACUUUUAGGGGAGCUCAGGGGAUCAGACACUUUACUGAUUAAGCUAUCCCCUAAGCCUAACAGUUUUCUUUGUCUGUUGUAUGCAUAUUAAGUAAACCUUGCUAUAGGACACUUCCAUCUAGUAUUUAUAUACAGGUCAUUAUGAGUGUCUGGACAGGUCCAAAGAGGGUGUUGGAAUCCCUGUGGCUGGAGAUGCAGGUAGCUGUGAGCUCUUUUUAGGAGGCAAUGCUGGAACCAAAGCCAGUACCCAAUUGAAAUAAAAAUCUUAAGUGCUGGGAGUGAACGAGGUGUGGUGGCACACGCCUUUAAUCUUGGCACUUGGGAGGCAGAGGCAGGCAGAUCUCUGAGUUCCAGGCCAGCCUGGUCUACAGAGAAACCCUGUCUCGAAAACAAACAAACAAGUGCUGGGACUGAAACCUAGGGAUCUGCACAUGCCAUCCUUACUGUACCACGGACUUUCCCCAGCUGAAACAGAACCUAAGCCUGGAGAGAGCACAGAUAUUAUCACAGGUAAGCUAUCAAUCAAGACUUAGACCCAAGAAAUCUGGUUCCAAGGGGCAACCUUUGUGUGCAAGUUAUGUGUUCAUAUAUGUGUGCCCCGUGGCUGCCAAAGUCAAUACUGGGUGCGUUUGAUACUUUGCUUACUUCACUUUUUAAGGUAGGGUCAGAGUUCAUUUGACUACUUUCGCCACCUUAAUUUGGGAGCCCUGAUUCUGUGUUGGGAUUAUAGGCAGGUGUCAUGCCCACCCAACAUUUACCUUGCCUCAGAAAAACAAGGUCUGAAGGACACACUUUUUUCUUUUUUUCUGUCUCUUCUAGAGACAGAGUUUCUCUGUACAGCCUUGGCUCCUACAAUUAGCCUUGUGGACCAGGCUGACCUUGAAUUCAGAGAUCCAUCUGUUCCUGGGAUCCAAGGUGUGUACCACUGCUGCCCAGAUUUUCAAUAUUUUAUGCACACCCAAAUUUCCUGAGCAGUUGUUUUCUUCUACUACCAUCCCAAAUGCACAUCAGCUUUCCAGACUUGGUGAUUCUACAUGUACCAUCUGAAGCAAGGUUCAUACAUCUUUAUUUUUUGGUUUUCUCUUUGUAACAGGGUUUCUCUUUGUAACAGUCCCGGCUGUCCCAGAACUCACUCUUUAGACCAGGUUAGCCUCGAUUUCAGAGAUCUGUCUGCUUCUGCUAGAACUAAAGUUGUGUGCUACCAUGUCUAGCUAAACAUCUUUCUUUUUAAAACUGUUCCCCCCAAAUGAUUCUAAUGUCCACCAGAGAUUAAGAAGGGCUACCUAACUCUGAAAGAUACCAAGCCCCAGAGUUUUUUUUUUUUUAAUUCAGAUUAAGUUUUAUGGUUGUGGGCUAGGGAAGUUCAUGUGCUGCAGUGUGUGUGUGUGUGUGUGUGUGUGUGUGUGUGUGUGUGUGUGUGUAGGUCAGAGGACAACGUUAGUGGAGUCAGUUUUAUAUUUAUGUAGGUUCUAGAGCUCAAACUCAGGGUGCCAGGCAUGUCAAACAAGUGACUUUACUCUUACAAGCACUGGAAGGUUUUUGUUCUGUAGAUACAGCCUUAUCACCUUACAUUAAUUCUACUGCCUGUUUUCCAAGUAAGAAACAGUAGCUAUGCGCCACCACAUCCAACUCAGUCUUACAAUUGCUAAUAUAAUGCAUCUAGUCCCUACCUUGUAGUAGAUAGAGCCUGCUGGCUUCAGUACAGGCUCCAAUUCUCAUUCAUAUACUAGACCUCUUUUCUUCUCUAAGAUAUAGAUACUAUCACCUACUUUAUGAUAAAGAUUGUUAAAUGGAUAAGAUGAAGUGUUAACUAGCACAGCAGCUGAUUAUCAAUCAGGAGGGAUACUACCACAAAACACUUCUCUCUGACCUUUAAUUUACCCUUGUCAGUCUUUCUUACCAGAGCCACACCCUCAUUUCAAAUCAGGUGUUAGGCCCUUAGCAUCCUCAGGCAAAAGUCUGGCCUUCUGUGCUAGAUCUGCCUGCUUUGGUAAUAUUUAGGAGUCCUUUCAUGCUUGAGUCAACCUACAUGUCUUGUUACUUGGAGGACACCAGGGAAGCAGGAAACCAACUAAACCUCUCUUCUCUCUCUUUUGAAUGUUGGGCAUUGAACCCAAAGCCUUGUGCAUGUUAAACAACAAAUUUUAAAAUUUUAUGUGUAUUGGUGGUUUGCUUGUAUGUAUAACUGUACAACGUGCCUAGUUUGAAGAAUCAGAAAGGGCCACUAUGUGAGUACUAGGAAUUGAACUUGAGUUCAACAAAUGCCCUUGGACAACAGAUUUUUAACACUGAACCUUUCUCCAUAUUCUGCUUAGUUUUUUGUUUGUUUGUUUUGGUUUGGUUUGUUUUUUUUUUCGAGACAGGGUUUCUCUGUGUAGCCCUGGCUGUCCUGGAACUCACUCUGUAGAUCAGGCUGGCCUCGAACUCAGAAAUCCGCCUGCCUCUGCCUCCCAAAUGCUGGGAUUAAAGGCGUGCGCCACCACGCCCGGUUUCUGCUUAGUUUUAAGUGGUAGCAAAGGAUGUUCUUGAGUCCUUCAGGGCCUCACUAGCACUUUCCCUACAUAUUUGUUGCCCACAUACAGGUUUUUGUCUUUUAGAGUAAGAUCUUGCUAUGUAGCUCAAGCUUCCCUCAGCAUCUUGGGAUUAUAGGCAUGCAGAUAGCUUAACAUACAGUCUUGGGAAUCGUUUACAAAGUUGAGCAUGGAAGUAGAUGGCUUCAAUCCUGGGCAUACGAGCAAAUCUCUGAGUUGCAGGCUAGCCAGAGAUACAUAAUGAGAUCCUGUUUCAAACGUUAAUAAACCUUCAAUUUUACAGGCAAGUUAUAUGGCCAUGAAAAAUAUGAAUGAGAGUGUGACCCAAGCUAUUGCAGUUGUUUCUGCUGCAAGGGAUAGUGAACAUGUAGGUAAAACAGUUGGAUUUUUUCAGAUCUGUUAAUAAAAGUGUAAUACCUCAAACAUGGUAACUACAUGAGCAGCAUGGCACAAUUAACAGAAACAAAUACUCCAGAGCCAGAUUGCUUCAAGCUAGGUCUAGUGUGUACUAACUAUAGGAAGACCUAUUUAACCAUCUAUAAAAACUAUACCAAAACAGUAAUUGUGAAGGUUAUUAUAUAGUUAUAGUGGUUUUCUCAAUGGCUUCUCAUGAAUCCUUAACAGAAGUUAUUUUAUUCCAUUGCUACUUUUAAAAUAUGUGCAAAAAAUCCUUGGCGCUGAAACAUAUCUGAGAAAUCUAGCCCAAGAAACUCAUUUUGUGGACUAGAGUACUAGAGUACAAACUGAAUUAAGCACCCUCUUGCAUGGGGAUAAUGGGAAUGAUGCACUGCUAAUGAGAUAGCAUUUGUCCACUUUGGCCUGUCCUCCAUGAGCUCGCAGCUCAGACACUGAUAGUGAUGAGAGUAAGUGUACAAAUGGGGGGGACACGACUAAAUACUUCUUGUUAGUAUUAAUAGAUGUUCACAGAUUUUUGUCCAUUUUUAUUCUUCCAAUUUCAUCUAUCUGCUAUUGUUGAGAAAGCGUGUGAGGUUUUGUUGCCAGAGCUGGUCAGUAGUUGUUAUUGAAUUGAAUUUCUUAUCCUUUCUACCUCUACCUCUUUAAGUGUAGGCACUACAGGUAUGCUUCCAGUAUCAUCCCCAUUCCCCCCACCUCCACUUAAAAAAGGCUCUGAGUGAAUUUUUUUUUAUGUGUACAGGGGUUUUGCCUUCAUUUAUGUCUCUUUGUCCAGUGCCUAAGGAAGUAAGAAAAGGGUAUUGGACCCUGGGGGCUAAACUUGCACACAGCUGUAAUACAUGAUGUGCAUGCUAGAAACUAAACAUGGCUCUUUUGGAAGAGUGGCCACUACUCUCAAGCACUGAGGCAUCUCUUCACCCUUCAGAACCUCCAUUUGAAUUUGGCUUUCUGACUCUGCAUGUGACUUCACCUUCACAAUGACAUUUUUGGUCAAUAAGAAAAGUACACCGGAUUCUGUUGUAAACACAUUAAACACACAUGGAACUACCAUAGGUUGGUCCUGUUGACAUAUAUUUAUUUUGGAUGAUCUCAUAGGGUGAUAGUUCUCAUAGCAUGAACCCCUUGCAGUCAGCCUAGGCACAUACCAUGCUCCCCAACUUUCUUAGUAUAAAGGUAAACAAUCCUAUCUCUAAGAGUUCAGAUAACUUAGUUUUGUUAGAAGUUGUAGAACAAUAAUAUGUCAAAGUCUGGACUAUUCUGUAUCCCUGGAAGAGGAAAGAAAGACAGAAAAAUGAUUUGGAACUAAAAAUCAGGUAUAGGCCAACUCUGGAGUGUGUGUAUAAUGUUAUAUACAUACUGGUUUUUAUGGCACUGAGACAAAUUUGAGCAUUAUACCAUGUAUUUAAAUGUUUUUAUUUUAUUCUUUCAAGAUGUAGCCUUGUGCCUGGCAGAGGUGGCGCACACCGUUAAUUCCAGCACUUGGGAAGCAGAGGCAGGUGGAUUUCUGAGUUCCAGGCCAGCCUGGUCUACAGAAAAUGGACCCCUGGACCUGGCAUCUGCUAGGAAAGUGCUCUACUACUAAGCCAGACCUUUAGUCUCAUGAAUGCUUCAAUUGUUUCGAACGUUUUUGACAUUAAACUUAAUAAAUAUUAAUAAAUCUAAGCGAUUAUGUCAACUUUUACAUGCUAUAAAUUCCAGAAAGAGAGAAUUAUAAACAAAACACCAUCAGAGUGAGGUUGGACCUAAUAGCUCUUUAAUACCAUCACUCAGGAGACAAAGGCCUGUGGACCUCUGUGACUUUAGACCAGACUGGUCUACAUAGUAUGAUCCUAUGUCACAGAAAAACAGUACUUCAUGAUUUUAUGUUUAUGAAGCAUCCAUGCUAAUCUCUGUAUUAUUCCAAUUUUAGUAUACUUGUUGCUGAUUUCUAGUCAAAAGACCUGAAUAUUUCUGGUUUUUUUUUUGUUUUGUUUUGUUUCGUUUUUUUGAUACAGGGUUUCUCUGUGUAGCCCUGGCUGUCCUGACACUCACUCUGUAGACCAGGCUAGCCUCGAACUCAGAAAUCCGCCUGCCUCUGCCUCCCGAGUGCUGGGAUUAAAGGUGUGUGCUACUACGCCCAGCUAAGACCUGAAUAUUUCAAAGGCCCCUGACUUACAUAACUAGAUUGACCACUAAAGAGUUAUAACAGAGCUGGGCAGUGGACAGCCAGGGCUAUACAGAGAAACCCUGUCUCGAAAAAACUAAAAAAAAAAAAAACAAAAACAAAAAACAAAAACAAAAACAACAACAAAAAAAACCCCUUUAAUCCCAUAACCUGGGAAGCAGAAACAGGAGGAUCUCUGUGAGCCUGGGAGAGCCAGCCAGCCUGGUCCAGUACUAUAUAGUUAAGAUCCUGCCUCAACAAAUAAAUGAAUGAGUGAAUAAUAAAUAUUGUGACAGUUUGUUCCAACCAAUAAAGCAUUAAGGUGUUUGAUAUUU